rnacentral:sRNA from 1 species
UCUUUUUCACCACACAGUCGAGCUUCUGUAACUCGAACCGCCAACUGGCGGCAGUAAAGCAAACAUACACAUAUGUAUGUAGUAGUUAAGAAUUUAAAUGGAACUGAAAUGUGGCACAUAAAAGUUGUCGUUUUUUGUUAACUCGAGUUACAGAAAAAACAAUUGCUAAAGUUAAGCUAUAUAUUUCUUAAACAUAUUUCUGCAAUGCAGAUCAAAUAAAACGGAUAUUGCCGAAAUUCGUUGUAGGCCAGAUGCACUGUAUUUUUUCUCUAGUUCUGCGUAUCAGCAUGAGACACUCGUAUUUGUUUCUGUCUGAUAGCAAUCCGGCAGAUACCGAUGGAAAAUGGCAAGGUGCUGCUGGGCACCGAGACCCUUCUGAGAUCAUUCAUGGGUGCGGAACAAAGGGGGCUGCUGCGGACAAAGAUUGAUAAAAGGGAUUCGAUUCAUUCAUUCAGCAGGGGCAGCACGAAGAGGAAGUGAGUGCUAUCUGUAUCUCUCGAUCCCUUCGCUUAUCGUGCAUCUGUUCAGAUCGAGCAGCAGCCUCGGAUUCUGUUCGGCUGCGAAGGCUUCUUUCACUGGUUCUCUGGUUAUAUGGUCAUAGGGAAGAACAACAGGUUUCCCGUGAGCAGUGAUUUCCCAUGAGCAGUGCAAACACACACACACACUAUUAUGGACCUUUUCUACCUGUUCGUUACCUGUGUGUGUGGGUACUACCAGGUAGAGCCCAUUAAGCAUCUCGAAAUAUGAAUGAAGUACAGAUACACUGGCAGACACAGAUACAGAUACAGAUACAGCUGAAAACGCAGACUCGGAUUGCCUCGUUAAAAAGGACAACAACUUUUGGCGAUGCAGCGGCGUUUAUUCAAAUUUCCAGCUCCGUUCUAUUGCUGGCCGCCUCAAAAGCUUGCUGGCAAAAACCAGUUUCGGCUCUUUGAGUUUUUCUUGCAAAAAAAGCGAGUGAAAUGAGUGAAAAAAAAACAAACCCACAUGCAUGUCGCCCUCCCCUCUGCGACCGACUUACGGCUGGUUUUGCUGGGUUUUUGUUUGGUUUUUGCCCAGACUUCCUACCACCUGCGCCCCCCGCUCGCCCCCCGCCGCUUUUCGCCAACAACUCCGUACGCAUCUGAACCGUGAGAUUUUAUUUCAUGCAAAAAAGCCAACACAAGAGCCAACGAGCAGAGGCGCAGGCAGAAAAAGUAGAAGUACUCGGCUGCGCAUGCGCAACACAGAACGAGAUGGCGAAUGCGAGGGCAGACAGAGACAGGGCGACAGAGUCGCUGGUCGACCUGUGCAGGUGUUUUGCGCUUGCAACAAGGAAACCAGCUUAUAAAUUAUAAGUUCGGCUCGCUGCAGUUGCAGCCUUGUUUUUUUUCGGUUGUUGUAUGCACGAAUCGGUGGUCGUUAAUGGCUUAUUAAAAGGGUUCAGAGGUUGAGGUUGAAGUUUGAAGUUUAAUUUAAACUGGGAGUAAUGUGUUACAUUUUAUGUAAUUUAGGGAAUUUUAAAUAUAUAUAAAUAGUGAGACAUUCGGCCUGUAAACUUGUAGAUAUUAUUUAUGCCCACGAUACUAUAAUGAUACGUGACCGUAAACGCGGUUUUCAUUAAAUGUGAUGAUUACCUUUUACGAGUAGGUGAAGUGGAGAUUAUUUUUGGAACCGUGAAAGCAAAAUAUUUUUGCAAGCGUAUGAAUCACUGCGUCUUAUCGAUUGAUAAGGCCGAAAAAACAGUACAUAAUUAUAAGCAAACUGCACACAGCUGGGCCUAUAAUGAGCUGGGGUUUUUCCAGCUUGCGACAAAAUGAGAAGAUACGCAUGCAUUAGUAUCCUGUUUAGGGACUUCGCUUCCAGCGAAACAGGAACCGGCUAAGUGGCCAGUCGAGGAUCGCGACACAUCCCAUUGUCGAGUCGAGUGUCUGGCCCUUAAAAAAAAAACAUAUUUUCGUCAUAUUUUUGAGAGCACAUAAGAACCGGCUGGCAGGUAAGGAGCGCUCGCCCACGUCUCAGGUUCAAACUUUGCUUUCUCCUUGCGGAGCAGAGUAUCCGAUUUCAUAAAGGACAUGCCACAUUUCGUUGAGCUCCGUUCCCGGCGGAUGCACAGCCCAGAAAGUUCCCAUGUCCUUUUAGCUGGAAAAUGGAAAACCACUCGAGCUGCAUGCGCCAGCCGCAUGUCUGUGAUUAUAAGAAGAGCCCACUUGAGAGCCACCAGCAUUUCUCGCAUCUUGGUUCUCCCACUCAAUUGCAUUCCGUAUCUUGAGCAUGCUACUGUUACUGCAUCUACAAGAUACAUUUCUGCCCUUUGUUUUUGGGGAAACGACGCUGCUCGGCACACCGAUUCUCACGUUUGUGGAUGGCCAGAUGGGAAGUUGGGGGGCAAAGAGGCCUGCAAUCAUAAAUAAUAAUCAAUUUCCUGUGCCCAAAAUGUUUCCCAUCGCUCCGCAAGUUUUCCAUUUCCAUUCUCCAGCUGGGGAGCGUAUGCAACUGCAAGUUUUUCCUUUCUGCUGAGAAAAUGUACAAAUAAAAUCUGACAGCACAACGCGAGGUGAGGGGCCAAUCAGCCGAUUGUUUAAAAUGUAUUUAUUGUUUGCCGUUUUCCCUCCGCACCCAUGCGUCUCUCCUCCCGCGCUCCGUUUGUUUGAUUUGUCGAACAUUUGUGCACAUAUGUUUCCCCCAUUUGCAUGCGAAGCCCACCUACCGCCACCACCCCCACCCACCCAAAAUGGAGGCUGCCAAUGGGGGCAUUCUCUGAGAGAAUCCGCCUCGGAUUCCGCGCUGCUUCGGCUCGCUGCCUCGUUUUGUGGCCGCCGCUCGGCUGCGGAGGUUAAGUGUUGGCCCAAUCAACGGCUGCCCCAUUCGCUGCCCAUGACGCAUGCGUCCUCCUAAACUAGUGAACUGAACUAAGCCCUAAAGUCAUGGGAUUACUUACUUUUAUUUAUGGUAUUUAAAAGUUUGCUUGCAGAAUACCAAAGUCAUCUUACAUCUACUAAAAUUCUGUUAAAUAUUCAAAAAGUUGCCUUUUAUAUUUAUAUUCAAUCUUUUAUAUACAAUUCAAUCAGCAGUAUGUUUGGAAUACAUGCCCAUUCUUUGAUUUUCCUUUACCAAAUACAAUUCAAACAAAUUUGUAUAUCUUACUUAAUAGCUUUGUUGCAAGCAUUAAAAUUUUCUUAGUCCAGGGUAUUCCCCGCUUUUCUACCCACAUCCAGCUUCAAUUUAUUGUUAUCACAGUGCAUGCAGCUCCCCCAAAUGUAUCUUUUUACUGGCAACAUCUCUGUUUUGUUUAUGACUUGGCCAAAAAUACGAAAGAAGCAGAUUGCGCCAGCUGUUGCCGGCUUGGAUGCGAUGGCUUGAGAUGAGGAUGAGUUGGGGAGAGGAUGCGAUGCGGGACGGGGGCUGGGGCGAUCUCCUUACCCUUUUGCCACAUUGUGCGGAUCAAGAGAUACUGCAAUUAGUGAAGGGGGCACUUGCAACAUCGGCGAGUGUGGGUGGUGUUGCCGCGCGGGACGGGGACUGCACCAUAUGUCACUUCGGUAAGCUGAGCCCUCGCAUCGGAUUACCACUUAGCCAUAGCUGCUCGCCCCGCGAUCUCUCGAUCCCGCAGCCCCCAAUCUGGGUGUACAUAUAUGUAUGUAUGUUUCUUCUUGAGCUGCGUCCAUAAACAUAAAUCCAAGCCGGACGAGCUGUUGUUUUUCUUCUUCGCUUGCUUGUUGUUCUCUGCCUUUAUGCUGCCGAAGGUUCUGGGCCGGAAAACGCCAAAGAGCAUAAUAAGUUCAGAUCCAGCAUCGGAAUCGGACUUGCAAAGACAGUGCGCGGCACGAAUGUAAGGUCAACGGCGUUGACAGUGAUCUUGCAUAAUUGCAGGGCCACGGAAAAGGUAUGGCCCCACCCCGGCUUAAGGUUAAGUUUCCGACGCCCCUCGAUCUUUUUCGUUUUUUUCGGUUUUUUUUUUUUUUUGGUUUUUUGCGCUUGCCCGUCUGGCCGAGAGCGAGAGUUAACCCCUUGAUGGCCGCGGGGUCAGCAACGGACGCAUGUGAAUCAUUGACAGUUUUUAUGAAGCGCCGCAUGCAUCACUCAACGACAUCUCAAGAAGCGCCCGCUGUCGCCUCAUGUCGCUCAGUAGCCCGCAAUGGGUGUGAUGAAUUCCAUGUUGCUACUUCGACACUGUGAGAAAUCGGAGUAUGGUUUGCAUCUUUAAUUCAGCUGGUUAAGCAAGUUCAAAUUUCCUUUGAGAAUACAGUUUUUGAUGGUUUGAAAGAAAUCAUAAGAAUUAUUUGUUGUGCAAAUGAAUGGUAUGUUUCAUUGUGAGGGAACCGCACCCCACUUGCUGCCGCCUCUCGAAAUCAUUUCAAAUUCAAUAGAGGCAACAGCCUGCCAGCCGGGAAAUAUUAAAGUCAAGCGAUGACGAAAGUUUUUAUAUCGGAGAGUCGAGAUCUCGCGGUGGAAAAAGCAUUGGAAAAAUUGGAAUGUUUAUGCCGAGCCGAAGUCGAAAGCGUUUGCGUUAAUUAAAAACAAUUAAAGUGGCAACGUUUGUGGGGUGCCGGGUGGUUCAGCGGGUGCCGGGGGUUGGCCAGCAUCGGGGUCACCAGUAGUGCUGGAAUGGUAACCAUACUCGUAUAUAUAUAUAUACUAUAUAUAUCACGCACACCAACCAUCCGCAGAUCGAGCCGAAAUAUAAAGGCUUGAGCGGCAAAUGUGGGUCGGGUUAGGGGGAAGUUGACUUGUGGAAGGGCCACCGCUUUCCAUCUUAACCACCCCCUCACCCUCCCCCCGCGAUCGGCUUGACUUUCCAUACAAAUUGUAUAAUAUUAAUUGCGGUUAAUUGGGAUUAACAGCUGCGCCAAAAUGUUUGCCGCUCUUGAUGCACUCGGCUCAGUUCACAUUGGGGAUCAGUUCCGCGGAACGCCGAAAGGGGUAAGUUAAGUCAGCAGCUGGGGGAGUGGCCCAAAGGGUUGCCACUUUCCGGCUGCACUUAAAAAAAAACUCUGUGCAUUUCAAAAUGCAGUAUAGUAUGCCACACACAAGCUCAAGAAAUUUAACAACCUCUUUUAAUUGCUCAUAAAGCAAAUGUGGCAAUUAGUCACAAUAUUUUUCAGAAACAGCUUGCCAUGAUUAUCAAACUAAUACUUUUUAUUACCACCUUUAAGCGUUAAUUUGCAGACAGCAUUACCUUAAAGUGGCCAACUACUUUUGGUAAUUGGAAAAAUGCAUUGCCUGACACAAUAACUCUUAAAUUUAAUUUUCGGAAGUAAACUAGAUUUUUAUGACGGGCGUUUGCUAACGGAAACGAGGCUCGACCGGCUCAAAAGUGAUUUGCUUCCGAACGGGUUUUACAUCUCCAGUUCUAGCCACGCUUCAUCAUCACUGGGCAGCUAGAUACGUAUGUGUGCAGCCGGUUCCCAUUUCCUGGCAACGUGACGACAAGUCUUUCAGAAUGUCCCAUCCGCGGAUGGGCACUUUGCCAUUCGCCAUGCCAUCGUGGAUCGCAGAUCGCAGCUCCCAGUUUUGAAUCCGCCCAAUAAACCGCCCCAUCCGGCGCUGGCCAUCCGGUGUGGAUCGACUGGUUUUGUGCUGCCCAUUUGGUGGUUGCCUUCGCACAGGAUUGCCGCCCAGCCAUAAAUGUGAUGUGGAAAAUGAGUAAAGAAAAUCGUUAUGCUCCGCAUCCGAGGCAAUGUGAUUUUCCUGCCUGGAAUUUCCGCUCUUGUUGGCGGCGCGCUAAUUACGCCGAUGAAUGAAUGGGCUGGUAUGGGCUGGCGACACACCAUUUGGGCCCUGUCAGUACCUGUUUGGGCCAACGCCAUCCGAUUGGCCGCGUGCAUUGCAAACACACAUGUGGCAGCAAGUAAUUGUUUUGGCCGCGCCAGAAUGUUGCAGCGGAAGUAAUUUGAGGCUGAUGAUGAUGCUGCACGCCGUCUUCUGUCGCCGGGGUUAAUAGGGGCACUCGGAGGUUAAUGGCUAUCCUAUGCACUUGCACUCUGGCUUCUUGGGGAGUGGAAAGUGGAUAGUGGGGAAAACAUCACUAGUGUUCCACGAAAUCAUUAGAGGCCCGCCGAACCCAAAAAGGGCUACACUGAAAACAAAAAAUGAUCUCAAAGAUUAGGCAUCAAAUUUCUUAAUGAGAUACUUUAUUCUCAUUGUUGCUAGUACUUUUUUUACAGUGCUGAGAUUUUUACAUGUCCAAAGCCAAGCCCCUUAUGCAUACAAAAUGAAGAAACAGUGAAGAAACACUCAGCGGAAGAGAGACGGAUAGUGAAGAGCCGAGUGAGACAAGAGAGAUAAGGCCAAGCCAUUCAAAUUUAAAACUGCAUUUUCAAUUUUCCAAAAUGCUGCCCCCCUCUUUUUUUUUUUGUCUCCCAAGCAUGUGAGAAAUGAUGGAAUCUGGGGUCAUGUCAAUGGCCAAGUGGCAUUUCAAAAGAUAUUCAAAAUGGGUCCGGCUCUUGGGAAAGCGAUUAGUGUGUCAGAUUAUUAUGAAGAACACUACCCAGCCCAGAAUAUUCAAAUUCCAAAUUGACAGAAACUCUUUGCCUGUGCAUAUGUCACAAUGAACGCAGAAACAUGAACCAAAUAACAAGCAUUGCCAAAUGCACAAAGUCCGAUUGAGCAGGGAGUGGCUACAGACAACAUAUGAAUUUUACCUCGGAUCGGAUCGGUAUUGAACGUAUAUGUAUAUAUAUGUAUAUAUAUAUGCAUAUAUGCUUUGCUCAAUAAAAACCCAAUUGACAAAUUGUCAUGGCGAUCACGUAGCAACAACAGCAAGACAACAACGUGUUCUCCGAAGAUUUGGGACCCAGUGCAGCGGACUUACCACUGGGGUAAAAGUGGGAUCCCUGUAGCAGAACUAUACCAUACCAUACCAUGUCGUAUCUCUUGCCUGCUCAACUCUGGGCGACCUUUAGAUUCUAGUUGUUGACUUGUGCUGAUUGCAGCACUAAAAUCACCUCGACAACUACAUCGUGUACACAUGUAGGCACUUCAUCAUAACCCAGAAAAAGGCCCAGCACAGCACAGCAGCAGUGUCUUGGGGAAAAUACGAAAUACAAAAUACCAAAUACAAUAUACAGAAUACGAAACAUUUCCAAUUCGAUUUCAGAUCUUUUUGUGAGGCUCAGCACGUUUGGAAUAUUUUUUUGAAAUGUCAGCAGUUGCGCCGUAUCAGUGGAGAACCCGACGCCAUUAUGGUUAUAAUACUCGAUGCUCAUUUGUAUAUAUGCUCGUAAUGCUUGCUGUUUUUCAGUUGAACUAUGGGGCAUUCAUUUUCACAUUAUGUGGCGAAAAAAGAGGCAACCAAAUACGAAAAAAAAAAUUAAGAAGAAAGAAAACUGAUUAACAAACUGUGUUAAGCACCGCAGAUCGGGCCGAAUUUUUGGUGCUGAAUUGAAUUUUGAUGAACACCCGCUGACAGGGAGACCUUUUUUCAGGGCUUGGUCCGUAUGGGUAUCUUCUGGGCACGGAGACCCCAACAAAGCCCAACGAAGCCCAGCAAAACCCAGCAAACCCAGAAGGCCCAAAAGAGCCAGAAAACCGGCUCUGCGAUGGAUCACAGCUUCGUCGUCUUGGGCUCCGGAAGUGAGUUCGCUGCAGAUGUCCAAUCUGGGUCUCUAUGCACACGUAUGAGUUGAGUUGCAUUCGUGAGUGGACAAUUAAAGGUUUGUAAGGCAAUUAGGCAGCUGAGCUCGUGACGAAGCUUGGCUCGAAUGCAUUGAAUGAGUGUCCGAAAAAAUAAAAGAUAGAAAACAAUCGGAACAAACAAGAA